CCUACGGGUGGCAGCAGUGAGGAAUAUUGGUCAAUGGGAGAGAUCCUGAACCAGCCAAGCCGCGUGAGGGAAGACGGCCCUAUGGGUUGUAAACCUCUUUUGUCGGAGAACAAAACCCGGGACGUGUCCCGGACUGCGUGUAUCCGAAGAAAAAGCAUCGGCUAACUCCGUGCCAGCAGCCGCGGUAAUACGGAGGAUGCGAGCGUUAUCCGGAUUUAUUGGGUUUAAAGGGUGCGUAGGCGGUCUGUUAAGUCAGCGGUAAAAUUGCGGGGCUCAACCCCGUCGCGGCGUUGGAAACUGGCUGGCUUGAGUGGGCGGAAAGUAUGCGGAAUUCGGGGUGGAGCGGUGAAAGGCGUAGAUAGCACGAAGAACUCCGAUGGCGAAGGCAGCAUACGGGAGCGCUACUGACGCUGAGGCUCGAAGGCGCGGGUAUCGAACAGGAUUAGAUACCCGUGUAGUC
rnacentral:rRNA from 1 species